UGCCAUUACCAAGUAAUUACAUACCGCUUCGUCCCCAAACCAGGAAAUGAUUCCCGAGCGAAGCUAGGGUUCGACUGCCCAGCUACCGCUCCCCCACAUACCCCCGCCACCCCAUCGAUCUGCGGACACCGGCGACGACCACCUCCUCCGGCCGGUGGAAUGGUACUUUCGCGUGAUAAAACUCCCGACCACGGGCCCUUGCGACCGUGAUGCCUGCCCAGCCCUUGACCUGUACGGCCCUUCCCGUGCAGUGGUUGCGUUCUCCCCUCGAUCCCCGCUGGAGAUGCGUCGGCGAUGCGCGCUCCAUGGGGAGGCUCCCGGCGUUGUCCCCCACAGUCAAGCUCUCGGAGACAUGUGAACACGAGGCGGAAGGCCGGAUGCCAUGGCAGUACAUCGCGGAGCUCGAUGGCACAGCGGCGGGAGGACAGUGGCGGCGCGGCGUUCCCGCUGGCAGUGGCGGCUCGGAGCUCGCUGGCGCAUCGACGGGAUACAUCAACUGAUUUCUUGGCGGGUUCGGGAGAGCUUGCCUUCAGACUCAAUCGUUGAAAUUCAUCUUGAAGAUGGCUCAGAGGAAAGAAGGGGAUCCGGGAGGAUGAAGUAAUUGGACAUGGGUAUUACUCGCUGGAAUCCGCCUCCACCCCCACGCCGGCGAGCCCUAGCCUGCUCCUCCUAGGGUCUCCUACCGUCCUCUGCGCCCCGAUCCUGCGGCCCACCGCCCCGAUUCGCGUCGCCGUCAUGCCUCUACUGCUCGGAUCUCGCAGGGUGGUCUGAUCCCAGGAGACGAGUGAGGAGGGCCGGUCCGAUUUGGGCGUCUCGGCGCUGCUCAGACCGGAGAUCCGCCCGAUCCGGACCCUGUGUUGAUUUGUUUUGCCAGUGAGGAAUCCUGCCCUGCUUGAUUGUUUUGCCGGUUGAUAUCUUGGCUGGAGCGUUUGGAAUCAGCCCUCGCAGGGGAUGAUGGCUGAAAAAAAACGACAGUAGCCGGGAAGUUGUCAGGGUAGGUGACGGUGAGGCUGGCGUUGGUGCCCUGGAGCGCACUCGGACUUUUUGAACUAUCAAAGUCAUAGUAGCAUCAGGACACGGCAAUGAGACUGUUCCCUGAUGGUUGGGUGCUUGCUGUUUCAGUUUUUGUUGGCAUAUCAUGUGGAAAAAUGGGGUCUGGGAAAAUAUCAUGAGUAUGCCACAGAAGGAGAAGCUGCCAUAGGGCUUGACCGACCAUGACACCAGCUCCUCCCACAGCAGACCUCGAACAUUCGAGAGCUCACACGCAGCCACGGCGCGCAUCCUGCCUACAUGGAUGUUCCUGCCAUUUUUGUAAGUACAAGUAAUUUGAAAAAAAAAUCCUUCCUACUAUAUUAGUUAUUUCUGGAGGCAAAUGUGCUGGAAAUAAGUGACAAUCGAACUAUCAUCAACAUAUUGGUUAUAUUUAGUAUAAGUAACUGUUUUGGAGAAAAAAUUGGUGGAUCAAAUAGCAUUCAUAUUUAGACAUUCUGUGCAUAAGAAAAGCUAUGUAUUGGUGGUUAUUCCUGCUGUUAUUUUACUAACUUGGCUCAGCGAAGAAGUAUCAUAAUGGGUUGUUGCUUGAGGAGAUGCAUGCCGUCCGCAAGUUUGUGCAUUGCUGUUGUAAUGAUUGCUUCCAUGUUUUGUAAGGUCUUCUUUCACUGCUUUCUAUUUUCUUCCUUUCUGAAGUUGUGUAGUUUUAUCUGCUUGCUGUUUUCCUCCUUUCUAAAGUUGGUGGUUUAUAAACCUAACCUCAAAUUAACAUGGAGAAAGUUGAGUUCAUUAAUUCACUUGAUAGACCGUGCAUUAGUGAUAGAAAUCACAUGUCUUCUAUGUUUAAUAAAUAAAAAUAUUGCAUUAUGUUGUAUCUUUAUCUGAUCAUUGCUACAGUUUGCCUUCUGUUUGUUUCAGAUUAUAUUUCUUUUAUUGGAUGCACAAAUAACACUGCUCAUUAUAUUAGAAAAAGAUAUUUUUGCAAGAACAAUUCUAGAACCCAUGAGUAGUCUGGGAGUAAUUAAUAAUUAUAGAACUUCUGGAGAAUACUUCUAUUCGAGGUGCAAGACAUUUUUACAAAAGCAAGUUUAUUAUAGGUUUUUUUAUUGGAUUACAUUUCAAUGAAACAAAGUACUAGCUGAACAGAAUUCAAUUUUAGUCUGCCCAUGAGUUGGGUGUAAUUUGGGUAUGAUGGUGCAAACUAACCAAUGCAGCAGGCAAUAAUAGCGAAUUCACAACAACAGCUAGGAAAGCAAUACUCUGCAUUUCACUUUCGUACCGACUAAAGAGUAGCAAAUAUAUCAGUAUACAACAGCAAAAUUGUAUGUAAUGCAAAAUCCAGCAGCAGUGCAUGAAGUGAUCAACCCAGCUUGGUAUAGCAUCCCCCGCCGCCUGCUGCUCCUCUUCACCGCAUCCCUGGAAACUUGCUGCUCCUCUUCACUGCAUCCCAGAAAUUCACCUAUUCAGAUUAAAUACUUAAGAUGAUCUUAUAGUUUUGAGAUAUUAUGCGGCUAUUUUUUCUAUGAUCUGUAAUCUAUGUUAAAUGGCAGCUCCAGCGGCGGCAUCGCGCGUGAAGGGCAAGCGAUGGUGAACACUCUCAAGUGCCCUCUGCUAUAUUUUAUACCAGGGAGACAAGCUGGAGCUCGAUGAGCUCGAAUUACUUGAUGAGAACAUGACGUAAUCUCUUCAUGAGGGAGAGAAUAACGUUCAAUUAGUAGCAACAAAGCGCGGUUCAUCAAUUGUGGAAGACAAGUGUAUGUAGUAUGUACCCACACCUGUAAUAUGUAUUGAUUAUUCAUUCGGCUUCAAUUGGUUUUUGUUUUGUUACAUGAACAAGAAAUUAAGACACUUGAGAGUUGAGAAGAACUGUAAUUUGUAUGCUCCCGUAGAUUUCACAGGCCGUUGUUGACACUGACAUUGAAAUUUAUGUUAUGCUACAAGGAGUUGGUACCAAAUCUUGGAUGGAACACUAUUGAGACUUAUUUCUGUAAGUGUUAGUUUUAUAUAGUAUGGCAACAUAUUCAAAGCA